rnacentral:rRNA from 1 species
AUUGAACGCUGGCGGCAUGCCUUACACAUGCAAGUCGAACGGUAACAGGUCUUCGGAUGCUGCCGAGUGGCGAACGGGUGAGUAAUACAUCGGAACGUGCCCAGACGUGGGGGAUAACGAGGCGAAAGCUUUGCUAAUACCGCAUACGAUCUAAGGAUGAAAGCAGGGGACCGCAAGGCCUUGCGCGUUUGGAGCGGCCGAUGGCAGAUUAGGUAGUUGGUGGGAUAAAAGCUUACCAAGCCGACGAUCUGUAGCUGGUCUGAGAGGACGACCAGCCACACUGGGACUGAGACACGGCCCAGACUCCUACGGGAGGCAGCAGUGGGGAAUUUUGGACAAUGGGCGAAAGCCUGAUCCAGCAAUGCCGCGUGCAGGAUGAAGGCCUUCGGGUUGUAAACUGCUUUUGUACGGAACGAAAAGGCUCUGGCUAAUACCUGGGGCACAUGACGGUACCGUAAGAAUAAGCACCGGCUAACUACGUG